GACAAAGGAUUGGUCUCUGAAGGAUGCCUUUCUGGAGGAUUAAGCAGUUUUUGUUGACAAAAUACAAUUUACAACUCCUUUACUUGGUGUCCUGCCUUCUCAGUUGGGGUCUGGUCCUUCAGGGACAAGAGUGAAAAGAAGAACGGAAAAAUGAGCAAAAUUCUUUCACUUUUGAAAAAAUUACAAUUACAACACAAGCCUAAAAUGUCUACUCAGAAGUACUCCCAGGUGCUUUAACUCUGCAUGGUUCACAUGAAGUUACCGGCAAACAAAAACUACCAUGGAGUUUCCCCCCUGUAAAUCCGUACUAACCCAAUGUGCCGAUAAUAUGAAAAGGGGAGAAAAAAACAUCUUCACUUGUUUCUUUAGUGCUUGGAGACACUUUGCUCUGAUGCUUUUAGGUGGGUGUGUCAAUCGUUCCCCUCUCCAUGCCCACCCCUCCUCCUCCCUUUGUUCAUUUUAUUUCCAGUGGGCUGACAAGCAGCUUCUGGCUGC